UACGUAGGGGGCUAGCGUUGUCCGGAAUCAUUGGGCGUAAAGAGCGUGUAGGCGGUCCGGUAAGUCCGCUGUGAAAGUCGGGGGCUCAACCCUCGAAUGCGGGUGGAUACUGCCGGGCUAGAGUCCGGAAGAGGCGAGUGGAAUUCCUGGUGUAGCGGUGGAAUGCGCAGAUAUCAGGAGGAACACCAAUAGCGAAGGCAGCUCGCUGGACGGUACUGACGCUAAGGCGCGAAAGCGUGGGAGCGAACAGG
rnacentral:rRNA from 1 species